UGUCGAUUUGGAGUUUGUUGCCUAGAGUGAUGGGCUCCGAAGCUAACGCGAUAAAUCGACCGCCUGGGGAGUACGGCCGCAAGGUUAAAACUCAAAUGAAUUGACGGGGGCCCGCACAAGCGGUGGAGCAUGUGGUUUAAUUCGAUGCAACGCGAAGAACCUUACCUGGUCUUGACAUCCAUAGAAUUCUGCAGAGAUGUGGGAGUGCCUUCGGGAACUAUGAGACAGGUGCUGCAUGGCUGUCGUCAGCUCGUGUUGUGAAAUGUUGGGUUAAGUCCCGCAACGAGCGCAACCCUUAUUCUUUGUUGCCAGCGAUUUGGUCGGGAACUCAAAGGAGACUGCCGUUGAUAAAGCGGAGGAAGGUGGGGACGACGUCAAGUCAUCAUGGCCCUUACGACCAGGGCUACACACGUGCUACAAUGGCGUAUACAAAGGGAAGCGAAGGUGCGAGCUGGAGCGGAUCUCAUAAAGUACGUCUAAGUUCGGAUUGGAGUCUGCAACUCGACUCCAUGAAGUCGGAAUCGCUAGUAAUCGUAGAUCAGAAUGCUACGGUGAAUACGUUCCCGGGCCUUGUACACACCGCCCGUCACACCAUGGGAGUGGGUUGCACCAGAAGUAGAUAGCUUAACCGCGAGGGGGGCGUUUACCACGGUGUGAUUCAUGACUGGGGUGAAGUCGUAACAAGGUAACCA
rnacentral:rRNA from 1 species